rnacentral:rRNA from 1 species
UACGGAGGGUGCGAGCGUUGUCCGGAAUCACUGGGCGUAAAGGGCGCGUAGGCGGCCUGAUAAGUAGGGGGUGAAAUCUUGCGGCUUAACCGCAAGGCUGCCUUCUAAACUGUCGGGCUCGAGCACAGUAGAGGCAGGUGGAAUUCCCGGUGUAGCGGUGGAAUGCGUAGAGAUCGGGAAGAACAUCGGUGGCGAAGGCGGCCUGCUGGGCUGUUGCUGACGCUGAGGCGCGACAGCGUGGGGGAGCAAACAGG